rnacentral:rRNA from 1 species
GACGAACGCUGGCGGCGUGCCUAAUACAUGCAAGUCGAACGCUGAAGGAGGAGCUUGCUUCUCUGGAUGAGUUGCGAACGGGUGAGUAACGCGUAGGUAACCUGCCUGUUAGCGGGGGAUAACUAUUGGAAACGAUAGCUAAUACCGCAUAAGAGUAGAUGUUGCAUGACAUUUGCUUAAAAGGUGCAAUUGCAUCACUACCAGUUGGACCUGCUUUGUAUUAGCUAGUUGGUGAGGUAACGGCUCACCAAGGCGACGUUGCUUAUCCGACCUGCGAGGGUGAGCAGCCACACUGGGACUGAGACACGGCCCAGACUCCUACGGGAAGCAGCAGUAGGGAAUCUUCGGCAAUGGACGGAAGUCUGACCGAGCAACGCCGCGGGAGGGAAGAAGGGUGUCGGGUCGGAAAGCUCGGUUGUAAGAGAAGAACGAGUGUGAGAGUGGAAAGUUCACACUGUGACGGUAUCUUACCAGAAAGGGACGGCUAACUACGUG